CUCGACAGCAAGGAAUUCCACAUGUCCAUCUUCGACUGCAGCGGUGUGACGGUCCAAGGCGUCCGGAUCAUCGCGCCGUCUAACAGCCCCAACACCGACGGCAUCCAGGUCAGCCACUCCCGGCACGUGAGCAUCCUCAACACCACCAUCGGCACCGGCGACGACUGCAUCUCCUUGGGGCCCGGCACCUCGGACAUGCUCAUCAGGGACAUCAAGUGCGGUCCGGGCCACGGCAUCAGCAUCGGGAGCCUGGGAUGGCAGGACGGUGAGGAGGGGGUGAGAAACCUGACCGUGGACAGGGCGGUGCUGAAGGGCACGACCAACGACCUGCGGAUCAAGACGUGGGCGAUGCCCAACUCCGGCUUCGUCAAGAACGUCUCCUUCUCGCGGGUCACCAUGAACCGCGUGGCCAACCCCAUCCUCGUCGACCAGAACUACUGCUCCCGCAAGGGCGACUGCCCGGGCAAUAGCUCGGGGGUGCAGAUCAGCGACCUGUCGUACACGGACAUCAAGGGCUCGUCGGCGACGCCCGUGGCGGUGAAGUUCAACUGCAGCGGCACCAACCCCUGCAGCGGGAUCAAGCUCAGGAACAUUAGGCUGAGGUACCGGCACCAGCGGCCGGCGCAGGCCAAGUGCCAAAACGCCGGCGGGUCCGCGUCCGGAGAGGUCACACCGCCGAGCUGCUUCUGA
rnacentral:rRNA from 1 species